rnacentral:tRNA from 1 species
GCAAUAGCUCAAUGGUAGAGCUCCCGCUUCGUAUGCGGGAACGCCUGCGUUCGAUUCUCGGCUGC